GGGGCGUUAGCUCAGCUGGGAGAGCGCCUGGUUUGCAACCAGGAGGUCGCAGGUUCGAUCCCUGUACGCUCCA
rnacentral:tRNA from 5 species